CCAGGUGAGUGAAGACUGUUUCGAGAGUAUAUCUGUUUUCCUAAGCCUAAGGUUAUGAUAGCGUUGUUGUAGAUUUUAUCAUAGUAUUAAUCGAUUCUUGUUUGUUUAAAACUUAUAAAAGUAAAUUAUCUUUGAUAAAAUUAAGAUGGCUGCGACUGGUACUACACCUAAAAAGAUCAGGAAGGUUGAUGGAUCUAGUUCUGGAGAUGCAGAUGAAAACAGAGAUUUCGACCCGGAAACUCAAAAAUCGUUAGAAGAGAUCGACGCCUGUCAGAACGAAAUUGACGCUUUGAAUGAAAAAGCAAGCGAAGAAAUUCUUAAAGUUGAACAGAAAUAUAACAAGUUAAGAAAGCCAUUCUUUGAGAAAAGGAACGAUCUAAUUAAGAAGAUUCCAAACUUUUGGGUUACAGCUUUUGUUAACCACCCACAAAUUUCUGCAGUUUUGGAUGAAGAAGAAGAAGAAUGUUUACAUUAUCUGAACAAAUUGGAAGUGGAGGAAUUUGAAGAUAUCAAGUCUGGUUACAGAAUCAAGUUUUUUUUUGAUGACAAUCCUUAUUUUGAAAAUGAUGUGAUUGUGAAAGAAUUCCAUUUGGGAUCAUCAGGGGAUCCUGCAUCACAGUCAACAACAAUCAAAUGGAAAGAAGGAAUGGAUUUAAACAAAAAACAAAAGGAACGACAAGCACAGAUGAAAAAUAAUCGUAAAAGAGGACUUGAACUGCCAAGAACUUUCUUUUCUUGGUUCAGUGACCAUGGUGAUGCAUCAGCUGAUGAUAUAGCUGAGGUCAUCAAGGAUGACAUGUGGCCCAACCCACUUCAGUAUUAUCUUGUUCCAGAUAUUGAAGUGGAAAAUGGUAUGGAAGGAGAUGAUGAUGAAAGAGGAGGAUGUUGAUGAGGAAGAUUCUUUCAAGAAAGCAGAAGAUACUGAAGGGGAAAGAGGUGACAGUCAUGAAUAAGUUCACAAAGACUGUUGGCUGGUAGUGUUAUAUUGUACAAGUUUGAAGCUUUCAUUUUUCAUGAUUUUACCAAACACUGUCCACUUUAUGUGUGGUCAUCUCUGUUCACAUGAAGGUCAGUUGUGUAUGAUCUUAAAUGUGUAUUAAUGAUGUAACAAUAGAACAAUUCUUAGUAAAUCUUUCAAAAACUUU
rnacentral:misc_RNA from 1 species